AUGAAUGAUGAAAGACUCGCAGGAGGAAAAGGAUACUCUUGUGGUUUCAAGGCAGCUCUUGGAAAGGAGCUGAACCAAGAAGAGCAUGCCACUCCAGACUGGGCUGAACAAGCUCCUACCUCCUCCAACACCAGGAAGCAAGUCCCAACCUCGCAGGAAGGAAGUGCUAGUCACAAGACCCAACUGCCACUCCCAGUUGCCCCUUCCCCCACAAACUGUCACAAAUUCUAUUCUCAUAAUUCUUUUGAGCCACUCAAGAAGAAUGUUUUAGGAAUCCUUAUUCUUUUAAAAUUCAAGAGUCCUCUGUGUCAUCAAAGGGAAAUCAUUUGUUACAGUGCUGAUAGUUUUGAGUAUCUAAAGUGCAAAAGUCAACACCUGCAAAGAUGAGUUGAUAUGUUCAUAAGAAUGGGGACUUAAUUAACCCCAAGAUGAGGAGUUGGGACGGAGUUUGUUUUGCCAAGGUAUCUGUUAUUAGGACCUCUAGCUAUCCUCCAUGAGUAAUCAGCUUUCUUAACAUUUUUCAUUACUAAGAAGUAUGGAUACUUUCUUUCACACACUGGUAUUGUCUUCCUCUUCCCUUCCCUACUAUAAAGGAGAAAGGGUCAUGGGAAUUAUGAUUUAGAAGGUGACUGUUUGCCGUGUUUUGUAUUUGGGGAUUGUAUUCUUGCUGGGGAAAAAAUGUGAUGGGGAAGAGAGGAGAGCCCUUCUCCAUAUAACUCCUGGCUUUAUACUCAACCUUGUUUUGUAAGGCUUUCAGUGUCUCCUCGGUCCUGGGAUGAAAGAGGUGAUAAUCUGUUGAGGACUCUACCAGCUAAAUUAGGAUUAGCCAGCAAUAUGUCAUCUAAUAGAGGAUUUAGAGUCAAAUUGUAUAUUUCUUAAGAGUGGGUAAUUUAAACAUAAGUUGAGUUAUUGAACUUUGGGUUUUUAUAGGAGCUUAAAUCUGGAAAGGAUCUCUUUUUCAGUCAUUAUUGGAAUUAACUCUCUACUCUCACUAAGAGAAGUUCCCUUGGUGUGUGAAUUAUUUAAGUUAGAAACUAAAAUUUCACAGAAAUUACCAAGUUUAUUGCCCAUUUCUCUCCUUCACACACUCCUUGAAUACUCUAGCCAAAUAGAUCUUUUGGUUGUUCCCCAGACACAACAUUCAGUCUCCUAUCUCCAUACUUUCUACUAAUAGUCCUUGAUUUUUUGGAAUUAUAGAAACAGAAUUUGAGGGCUAGAAGGGAUCUCAGCAGCCAUUUAGACUAACUCAGACUUGGAAGCAUUCCCACCAUCACAUAAUUGGCAAGUGGCUGUCUAGCAUCUGCUUGAACUACUUGAUGGAGGGAGAGCCCACUGCUUACCUGUCAGGUCAGCCCAUCUCUCUUUUGGAUAUUUAGCUGUUAAAAUUUUUUCCUAAGGACAAAACUAAAUUGAAUUCUUUAAUACUUCUAUCCACUGCUUUUAGUUGUGGCCUCUGUGUGCAAAUGAAACAAGUCACCCUUUUCCCCUUUAAAUAGAGGAAAAGAACUAACAUGCUCCCCUCUGAGUCUUUUCUCUAGGAUAACCAUGUCCAGUUCCAUCAGUAUUUUCCCACACAUACAUUCGGAUUGCCCUUCAUCAUCCUUUCUUUCUUUAGAUACUCUUUAGCUUAUCAGUGCCCUUCUUCAACUAUACUGUCCAGAUAUGAACCAGAAGUCCUGAUAAAUUUCAAGGGAUUAUUGCCUCCUGCUUGCUGAAAGUCCUGUAUUUCUCUGUGCAGUCCAAAUUUGCAUUAGAUUUUUUGGUUGCUGUGCCAUACUACUGAUUCAUACUGAGUUUAUGAUCCCUUUAGCCCACAGAUCUUUUUCAGAAAAAUUGCUCUUUUAUAUUUAGAGUUGAUUUUUUUUGGUACCCAAGUAUAAGACUUUUACAAACUUCACUGCACUUUACCUAAUUAGAUAUCAUUGGAUUUGAAUUUGCUAGAUUUAAAUCUUUGAAAUGUAUAAUCUGUGCGACCUCAGGCAAGAGACUUGUUCUCUUAAUUCCUGCUUCUAAGAUAUAGACUUUGUAGAAAGUGAUAAAUGUUGGAGGGGAUGUGGCAAAAUUGGGACACUAAUGCAUUGCUGGUAGAGUUGUGAAUUAAUCCACCAUUCUACAGGGCAAUUUGGAAUUAUGUGAAAAGGACUUUAAGUGACUGCCUGGCCUUUGAUCCAUUCAUACCACUACUGGGUUUGUGCCCCAAAGGGAUAAUAAGGGAAAAGACUUGUACAAAAAUAUUCAUAGCUGCGCUCUUUGUGGUGGCAAAAAAUUGGAAAAUGAGGGGAUGCCCUUCAAUUGGAGAAUGGCUGAAUAAAUUGUGGUAUAUGUUGGUGAUAGAAUACUAU
ensembl:lncRNA